UCCACAAUAAUACAAAGAGCACAGACAACCAUACAAAUAGUAUUUAAUGUUCAAAUUCAAUAUACGUACAUACACCUAAUUUUGUUAGGUUUAGGAAGAAAAAACCCCACUCAAAACCACACCUUCAAGACACUGUGCUUCACUGCAUACCUUCUGACAUCAGGUAAUUUUUCGGAACUUUACUUCAAAAUGAAAAUUGAGAACUUAGAUUUAUAUGAAGUUACUAUUCUGAGAUUUUUGUAUCUGAAUAAACCUUAUGAAAUUGAGAUGUAAUAGUUAAGUUGUGUGAUGCUAGAAGUUUUGUAUUUUUCGAUUUGUGUGUUUCAUUUUUGAUUACUGAUUUGGUUUGAUAUCAUGUAAUUUGGCUGAUUUUUUUUUCUUUUUGCUUGUUACUGGCCUAUAGAUCUGAAGAAACUGAAGAUUACAGUGGUGAUAGUGGAUAAAUCUGGUCGUGAUUUUGACGUACUCAGAUGUGGUGGUUGAAAAGAG
rnacentral:lncRNA from 1 species